rnacentral:rRNA from 1 species
GGUGGAGCGAUUUGUCUGGUUAAUUCCGAUAACGAACGAGACUCUAGCCUGCUAAAUAGGCAGUGGAUUCUUUGUCCACUGUACUUCUUAGAGGGACAAGCAGCGUCUAGCUGCACGAGAUUGAGCAAUAACAGGUCUGUGAUGCCCUUAGAUGUCCGGGGCUGCACGCGCGCUACACUGAAGGAAUCAACAUGUUUCUCAACCUUGUCCGGAAGGACUAGGUAACCCGUUGAAACUCCUUCGUGAUUGGGAUAGGGAAUUGCAAUUAUUUCCCUUGAACGAGGAAUUCCCAGUAAGUGCGGGUCAUCAGCUCGCGCUGAAUACGUCCCUGCCCUUUGUAC